AAGUCGUAACAAGGUUUCCGUAGGUGAACCUGCGGAAGGAUCAUUACAGAGUUAGGGUCCUUGUGGCCCGAUCUCCAACCCUUUGUUUAAACCACUUUGUUGCUUUGGCAGGCCCGCUCUUUCGGGGGCCGCCGGGGGUGUUAAGUCACUUCUGGCCAGUGCUUGCCAGUAGCCAAAAUAAAUUCUUUAAUAAUACAGUCUGAAUCUUUAAUUAAAUAUAAUUAAAA
rnacentral:misc_RNA from 1 species